UAUCAGAGAUGCACCUUACCUGGUGAAUCUGUAUGUGAAGCUAGUUGAGCCCCAGAAAGGGAGUGCAACAACAGAAGCCUCGAGCAGGAAGAAGGCCCUGCUGGACAAGCAGCUGGAGUGAGAAUCAAAACAACAGGAUCACAGGGACAGACUCUCCACAAUCCAUGUGACAUUGGGAGAGGCCUUCUGUCUUCCCCAUCACAGGGAGGAGGCGGAGCAUUCUCUCAGAAGCAUUCUUGGUGGAGGGACUGCAUUUCAGGAGGCUGCAGCUGACAAAAAGCUUCAAGUGGACAUUUUCCUGGACCUGAUCAAGUGUGUAGCCUAAUUUCUGUGUUGGCUACAGCCCUGCAUGUGUCCUCGCAACUCAUUCUUUCAAAUCACA